rnacentral:rRNA from 1 species
UGGGGAAUAUUGCACAAUGGGCGCAAGCCUGAUGCAGCCAUGCCGCGUGUAUGAAGAAGGCCUUCGGGUUGUAAAGUACUUUCAGCGGGGAGGAAGGUGUUGAGGUUAAUAACCUCAGCAAUUGACGUUACCCGCAGCAGAAGCACCGGCUAACUCCGUGCCAGCAGCCGCGGUAAUACGGAGGGUGCAAGCGUUAAUCGGAAUUACUGGGCGUAAAGCGCACGCAGGCGGUCUGUCAAGUCGGAUGUGAAAUCCCCGGGCUCAACCUGGGAACUGCAUUCGAAACUGGCAGGCUAGAGUCUUGUAGAGGGGGGUAGAAUUCCAGGGGUAGCGGUGAAAUGCGUAGAGAUCUGGAGGAAUACCGGUGGCGAAGGCGGCCCCCUGGACAAAGACUGACGCUCAGGUGCGAAAGCGUGGGGAGCAAACA